rnacentral:ncRNA from 10 species
UUACAUCAUCAGGAGCGAUUUCUUACGAGAAAUCCACCAACCGAGCUUAAAAGCUACGGUGGUUAGUUCCAUUAAACGGAAGAUGUGCCUUGAAAAAGGAAAAAGUGGAACCGCC